rnacentral:rRNA from 1 species
AUUGAACGCUGGCGGCAUGCUUUACACAUGCAAGUCGAACGGAGGUUAGGAGCUUGCUCCUGACUUUAGUGGCGAACGGGUGAGUAAUACAUCGGAACGUACCGCGGAGUGGGGGAUAACGAGUCGAAAGAUUCGCUAAUACCGCAUAUUCUCUGAGGAGGAAAGCAGGGGAUCGAAAGACCUUGUGCUCUGCGAGCGGCCGAUGGCUGAUUAGGUAGUUGGUGGGAUAAAAGCUUACCAAGCCGACGAUCUGUAGCUGGUCUGAGAGGACGAUCAGCCACACUGGGACUGAGACACGGCCCAGACUCCUACGGGAGGCAGCAGUGGGGAAUUUUGGACAAUGGGCGCAAGCCUGAUUCAGCAAUGCCGCGUGCAGGAUGAAGGCCUUCGGGUUGUAAACUGCUUUUGUACGGAACGAAAAGCCCUGGGUUAAUACCCUGGGGUCAUGACGGUACCGUAAGAAUAAGCACCGGCUAACUACGUGCCAGCCGCCGCGGUAAAAC